UUGGCACAAGAACUCAUUGAUUUAGCAUUUCUUUUAGCUUAAUCAUCUUUAUUGUGCAUAAACUAAUUCUAGUUUGUCGCCUUUGUUUUGAAUUUUUAUCUGAAUGAAGUGAAUCAAACUUGAACAUGG